UUAGCGCGGGUUUUCGGUUUUUCUUAUUUGGUUUGGACAUGCGGGUUAGCACUACUGUAGUCUAUAGAAUUAAUAGGUCUAUUAAGUUCAGAGGUUAAAUGGGUGCCAGCAUCUGCGGUUAUACUUAGUCUUAAAAAUUAAUUUAGGUGGGUUAUUUUUAAAAAAGUUUUAAUUUUUGGUGAAAUAGGUUUGGUUAAUUUUUUUUUAAGAGGUCAGGUCUAAUGGAACCAGGAUUAGAGACCCUGCUACUAUUUAUAAAAUCUAAUGCUUAUAGUUAUAAGUUACAUGGUUUGGCGGCUUAAUUGGUUUAGAGGAGUUUGCUUUGUAAUCGAUACAGCUCGUUGGCUUAUAUUUAGUUUAUUUAUGUACACCGUCAUUUAGUUAAUUUUAACAGAAAAAUUAAGGAGAGUUAGUCAAAUAGCUUAGAUCAAGGUGCAGAGCAGGUAAAAGAGAGUUAACUACAAUAUAAAGUAAUAGUAUAGGCAUAAGAAGGUGGUUGUUAAUAAGUGGAUUUAAUAGUAAUUAGUUAUGUUUGAUUUUAUUUAUUAAGUGUACAAAUUGCCCGUCAAUCUCUCAGAGAUAAGUCGAAACAAAGUAGAUUCGCCGGAAGGUCGAUCUAA
rnacentral:rRNA from 1 species